AUACGGAGGAUCCGAGCGUUAUCCGGAUUUAUUGGGUUUAAAGGGUGCGCAGGCGGCCAUUUAAGUCAGCGGUUAAAUCGUGGGGCUCAACCCCAUUCUGCCGUUGAUACUGGGUGGCUUGAUUGCGGUCGAGGUUGGCGGAAUUCGUUGUGUAGCGGUGAAAUGCAUAGAUAUGACGAAGAACACCGAUUGCGUAGGCAGCUGACCAGACCGCAAAUGACGCUCAUGCACGAAAGUGCGGGGAUCGAACAGGAUUAGAUACCCUGGUAGUCCGCACAGUAAACGAUGAAUACUUGUUUUCGGCGAUAUAGUGUCGGAGGCAGAGCGAAAGCGAUAAGUAUUCCACCUGGGGAGUACGCCGGCAACGGUGAAACUCAAAUGAAUUGACGGGG
rnacentral:rRNA from 1 species